rnacentral:rRNA from 1 species
GACGAACGCUGGCGGCGUGCUUAACACAUGCAAGUCGAACGGAAAGGCCCUGCUUUUGUGGAGUGCUCGAGUGGCGAACGGGUGAGUAACACGUGAGUAACCUGCCCUUGACUUUGGGAUAACUUCAGGAAACUGGGGCUAAUACCGGAUAGGAGCUCCUGCUGCAUGGUGGGGGUUGGAAGGUUUCGGCGGUUGGGGAUGGACUCGCGGCUUAUCAGCUUGUUGGUGGGGUAGUGGCUUACCAAGGCUUUGACGGGUAGUCGGCCUGAGAGGGUGACCGGCCACAUUGGGACUGAGAUACGGCCCAGACUCCUACGGGAGGCAGCAGUGGGGAAUAUUGCACAAUGGGCGGAAGCCUGAUGCAGCAACGCCGCGUGCGGGAUGACGGCCUUCGGGUUGUAAACCGCUUUCGCCUGUGACGAAGCGUGAGUGACGGUAAUGGGUAAAGAAGCACCGGCUAACUACGUG